rnacentral:rRNA from 1 species
GGAAGGAUCAUUAUUGAAUACGAAUUGGUUCUGAUGCUGGCCUCUAGGGGCAUGUGCUCGUUCCGAAUCUAUUUAUCUUCUCUUGUGCACCUCUUGUAGUCUUGGAAAGUGAACCUCUCGCAGCAAUGCGGUUUGGGGGACUUUGAGCGUGAUAAACCUCAUUCCCCUGCUUGCUUUCUGGGCUAUGUUUUCAUAUACACUAUAAAAGUUACAGAAUGUCUUUUAAAGAUUGCGCAAGCAGUCAUUAAACCUAUACAACUUUCAGCAACGGAUCUCUUGGCUCUCCCAUCGAUGAAGAACGCAGCGAAAUGCGAUAAGUAAUGUGAAUUGCAGAAUUCAGUGAAUCAUCGAAUCUUUGAACGCACCUUGCGCCCUUUGGUAUUCCGAAGGGCAUGCCUGUUUGAGUGUCAUUAAAUUCUCAACCUUGUUUGCUUUUUUGCGAGCGAGGCUUGGAUGUGAGGGCUUUGCUGGCUUCCUUCAGUGGAUGGUCUGCUCCCUUUAAAUGCAUUAGUGGGAUCUCUUGUGGACCGUCACUUGGUGUGAUAAUUAUCUAUGCCUCGUCGACUUUGAAGCAAAAUUAUGGGAACCUGCUUAUAACCGUCCCUAACAAGGACACUAAACUUUGACCAUUUGACCUCAAAUCAGGUAGGACUACCCGCUGAACUUAAGCAUAUCAAUAAGCGGAGGAAAAGAAACUAACAAGGAUUCCCCUAGUAACUGCGAGUGAAGCGGGAAAAGCUCAAAUUUAAAAUCUGGCGG